rnacentral:rRNA from 1 species
AACGAACGCUGGCGGCAUGCCUAACACGUGCAAGUCGAACGAGACCUUCGGGUCUAGUGGCGCACGGGUGCGUAACGCGUGGGAACCUGCCCUUAGGUUCGGAAUAACUCCCCGAAAGGGGUGCUAAUACCGGAUAAUGUCUUCGGACCAAAGAUUUAUCGCCUUUGGAUGGGCCCGCGUUGGAUUAGCUAGUUGGUAGGGUAAAAGCCUACCAAGGCGACGAUCCAUAGCUGGUCUGAGAGGUUGAUCAGCCACACUGGGACUGAGACACGGCCCAGACUCCUACGGGAGGCAGCAGUGGGGAAUAUUGGACAAUGGGCGAAAGCCUGAUCCAGCAAUGCCGCGUGAGUGAUGAAGGCCUUAGGGUUGUAAAGCUCUUUUACCCGGGAUGAUAAUGACAGUACCGGGAGAAUAAGCUCCGGCUAACUCCGUG